GACGUAGGUGGCGAACGUUUAUCCGGAAUUAUUGGGCGUAAAGGGUGCGUAGGCGGCAUGAUAAGUUAUUGGCGGCAAAUCGAGGCUCAACCUCGUGGAAACUGAUAAUACUGUCUUGCUUGAGUGCAGAAGAGGUUAACGGAACUCCAUGUGGAGCGGUAAAAUGUGUAGAUAUAUGGAAGAACAUCAAUAACGGCGAAGGCAGUUAACUAUUCUGUUACUGACGUUGAGGCACGAAAGCGUGGGGAGCAAAAGG
rnacentral:rRNA from 1 species